rnacentral:rRNA from 1 species
ACGGGUGAGUAACACGUGGGUGAUCUGCCCUGCACUUCGGGAUAAGCCUGGGAAACUGGGUCUAAUACCGGAUAUGACCUCCUAUCGCAUGGUGGGUGGUGGAAAGAUUUAUCGGUGCAGGAUGGGCCCGCGGCCUAUCAGCUUGUUGGUGGGGUAAUGGCCUACCAAGGCGACGACGGGUAGCCGACCUGAGAGGGUGACCGGCCACACUGGGACUGAGACACGGCCCAGACUCCUACGGGAGGCAGCAGUGGGGAAUAUUGCACAAUGGGCGGAAGCCUGAUGCAGCGACGCCGCGUGAGGGAUGACGGCCUUCGGGUUGUAAACCUCUUUCAGCAGGGACGAAGCGCAAGUGACGGUACCUGCAGAAGAAGCACCGGCUAACUACGUGCCAGCAGCCGCGGUAAUACGUAGGGUGCAAGCGUUGUCCGGAAUUACUGGGCGUAAAGAGUUCGUAGGCGGUUUGUCGCGUCGUUUGUGAAAACCAGCAGCUCAACUGCUGGCUUGCAGGCGAUACGGGCAGACUUGAGUACUGCAGGGGAGACUGGAAUUCCUGGUGUAGCGGUGAAAUGCGCAGA